rnacentral:rRNA from 1 species
GAUGAACGCUGGCGGCGUGCCUAAUACAUGCAAGUCGAGCGAACGGACGAGAAGCUUGCUUCUCUGAUGUUAGCGGCGGACGGGUGAGUAACACGUGGAUAACCUACCUAUAAGACUGGGAUAACCUCGGGAAACCGGAGCUAAUACCGGAUAAUAUUUUGAACCGCAUGGUUCAAAAGUGAAAGACGGUCUUGCUGUCACUUAUAGAUGGAUCCGCGCUGCAUUAGCUAGUUGGUAAGGUAACGGCUUACCAAGGCAACGAUGCAUAGCCGACCUGAGAGGGUGAUCGGCCACACGGGAACUGAGACACGGUCCAGACGCCUACGGGACGCAGCAGUAGGGAAUCUUCCGCAAUGGGCGAAAGCCUGACGGAGUAACGCCGCGUGAGUGAUGAAGGUCUUCGGAGCGGAAAACUCUGUUAUGAGGGAAGAACAUAUGUGUAAGUAACUGUGCACAUCUUGACGGUACCUAAUCAGAAAGCCACGGCUAACUACGUG